GGCACACGGGUGUAAUAACGCGUGGGAACGUGCCCAUCCGGGUUCGGGAUAACCCAGGAAACUUGGGCUAAUACCUGGAUACGCCCUUUUGGGGAAAGAUUGAUUGCCGAUGGAUCGGCCCGCGUCUGAUUAGCUUGUUGGUGAGGUAACGGCUCACCAAGGCGACGAUCAGUAGCUGGUCUGAGAGGCAUGACUCAAGCCUGGGACUUGGGCACUGAGCCCACGGGCCAAGCACCUCAAUACGGGAGGCAGAGUGGGUGAAUAUUGGACAAUGGGCGCAGCCUGAUCCAGCCAUGCCGCGUGAGUGAUGCAGGCCCUAGGGUGGUACAAGCUCUUUCACCCACGAUCGAUCAUGACGGUACGUGGGAGAACGAAGGCCCCGGUCUAAGCUUCGUGCCAGCCGCCGCGG
rnacentral:rRNA from 1 species